UGCCUUGUUUUCUUAUGCGGUAUAGAGUGGU
rnacentral:piRNA from 1 species